rnacentral:rRNA from 1 species
AUUGAACGCUGGCGGCAUGCUUUACACAUGCAAGUCGAACGGUAACAGGCCUUCGGGUGCUGACGAGUGGCGAACGGGUGAGUAAUGCAUCGGAACGUGCCCAGAGGUGGGGGAUAACGCAGCGAAAGCUGUGCUAAUACCGCAUGUGAUCUGAGGAUGAAAGCGGGGGACCAGGCAGCAAUGUUUGGCCUCGCGCCUUUGGAGCGGCCGAUGUCAGAUUAGGUAGUUGGUGGGGUAAAGGCCUACCAAGCCGACGAUCUGUAGCUGGUCUGAGAGGACGACCAGCCACACUGGGACUGAGACACGGCCCAGACUCCUACGGGAGGCAGCAGUGGGGAAUUUUGGACAAUGGGCGCAAGCUUGAUCCAGCAAUGCCGCGUGCGGGAAGAAGGCCUUCGGGUUGUAAACCGCUUUUGUACGGAACGAAAAGGCUCUGGCUAAUACCUGGGGCUGAUGACGGUACCGUAAGAAUAAGCACCGGCUAACUACGUG